CUGUUAAAAUUAUUUACCUUAAAGGGGUGAUAGAAUGAUUAUAUAGGGUUUUUCACACUGUUCCUUAUGGUCUCCUAAUAGGGUAUGUAACAUUGUUUGGGCUGAAAAUAGCCCGGUUGCUAUUUUAUUGGCCCUAAACUACCUUGUGAAUUUGGCCCUAUUUGAAACAAGAGCUUUUCUUCCGAAUAUAGGAAGGUCAUGAGUAUUUAGAUGAGCUGCUUGCUGAUUGGUUGAGCAAACCACAUACACAUACUUUGGAGCUAAAGCAGUAGGUCUUGUAUUUCAGACACUGCAACGUUAUACAUUCUUCGUUUGCUAUUUCGUUACUAAAUUUACUUCUGA